CCUACGGGUGGCAGCAGUUGGGAAUCUUGCACAAUGGGGGAAACCCUGAUGCAGCGACGCCGCGUGGAGGAUGAAGGAUUUAGGUCUGUAAACUCCUUUUAUCGGGAAAGACUUAGGACGGUACCCGAUGAAUAAGCACCGGCUAACUACGUGCCAGCAGCCGCGGUAAGACGUAGGGUGCAAGCGUUGUCCGGAUUUACUGGGCGUAAAGAGCGCGUAGGCGGUCUGUUAAGUGUAGAGUGAAAUCUCCAGGGCUCAACCCGGAAACUGCUCUGCAUACUGGCAGACUUGAGGGACUGAGAGGUGAAUGGAAUUCCUGGUGUAGCGGUGAAAUGCGUAGAUAUCAGGAGGAACACCCAUGGCGAAGGCAGUUCACUGGCAGUCUCCUGACGCUGAGGCGCGAAAGCGUGGGUAGCAAACAGGAUUAGAUACCCUUGUAG
rnacentral:rRNA from 1 species